CGGUAAUACGGAGGGGGACAAGCGUUAUUCGGAAUCACUGGGCGUAAAGGACGCGUAGGCGGGUUAUUAAGUCGGGUGUGAAAUCCAAUGGCUCAACCAUUGAACUGCAUUCGAAACUGAUAACCUAGAGUAUGGAAGGGGCAGGUGGAAUUAGUGGUGUAGGGGUAAAAUCCGUAGAUAUCACUAGGAAUACCGAAAGCGAAGGCGACCUGCUGGGACAUUACUGACGCUGAGGCGUGAAAGCGUGGGGAGCAAACAGGAUUAGAUACCCUGGUAGUCCACGCCCUAAACGAUGAAUGCUAGUCGUCGGGGAGCUCGUCUCUUCGGUGAUGCACUUAACAGAUUAAGCAUUCCGCCUGGGGAGUACGGCCGCAAGAUUAAAACUCAAAGGAAUAGACGGGGACCCGCACAAGUGGUGGAGCAUGUGGUUUAAUUCGAAGAUACGCGAAGAACCUUACCUAGCCUUGACAUUGAUUGAAUUUUCCAGAGAUGGAGAAGUGCCUUUCGGGGAACAUGAAAACAGGUGCUGCACGGCUGUCGUCAGCUCGUGUCGUGAGAUGUUGGGUUAAGUCCCGCAACGAGCGCAACCCUCGUCGUUAGUUGCUAACAGGUUAAGCUGAGCACUCUAGCGAGACUGCCUUCGCAAGGAGGAGGAAGGUGAGGACGACGUCAAGUCAUCAUGGCCCUUAUGGCUAGGGCUACACACGUGCUACAAUGGGGCGUACAGAGAGUUGCGAUACCGCGAGGUGGAGCCAAUCUCAUAAAGCGUCUCUCAGUUCGGAUUGUUCUCUGCAACUCGAGAACAUGAAGCUGGAAUCACUAGUAAUCGUAGAUCAGCAACGCUACGGUGAAUACGUUCCCGGGUCUUGCACACACCGCCCGUC
rnacentral:rRNA from 1 species